UACGUAGGGUGCAAGCGUUAAUCGGAAUUACUGGGCGUAAAGCGUGCGCAGGCGGUCUUGCAAGACAGAUGUGAAAUCCCCGGGCUUAACCUGGGAACUGCAUUUGUGACUGCAAGGCUGGAGUGCGGCAGAGGGGGAUGGAAUUCCGCGUGUAGCAGUGAAAUGCGUAGAUAUGCGGAGGAACACCGAUGGCGAAGGCAAUCCCCUGGACCUGUACUGACGCUCAUGCACGAAAGCGUGGGGAGCAAACAGG
rnacentral:rRNA from 1 species